GUAAAGUAGACAAAACAAAGUGCCUCAACAACAACAAACAAAUUCACUAAUAGUUGCCGCAUUGAUGAGCUUUAUUUAUCACAAAUAUUGUCGGGUUAAAUUUAUGUAAAUGAUGUAUCUAUUAACUAUGCAUGCUUUCAGCUAAACAGUUGUCUAUUGCGCUCGACAAAAACAAACAGACAAAUAGGAAAUAUGCAAAUUUGAUGUGUAUGUGUUAGUGUGUGUGCGUGUGCCAAAACGGACACUUUGGCCCAAGAACACAAUGAAGUUGAGUUGAAAUCCCCUAUUCUAGUCUCAUUGGCAUGUCCUGGGAUACCGCAAUUGAGCAUUUGGCUGGCACAUUAACAGCAGCCAGUCAACAGCAAAAGCACAGCAUUGAGUGGAGAGUGAGACAUCAAUGUCUGGCACGUGGCGAAGUUUAUCGUAUUGAUAAGAUGAUAAGGCAAAUGAAUGGAUUAAAACAAGUACUAUAUUUGCGAUAAAUUAUUCAUUAUGUAUGCAUAAGCUUGCCCGUAAACCAAACCAUAUCCUGUGAAACUGUGAGAAAAAAAUUAUAAAUGAAACGUUGCG